rnacentral:rRNA from 1 species
CUACGGGAGGCAGCAGUGGGGAAUUUUGCGCAAUGGGCGAAAGCCUGACGCAGCAACGCCGCGUGGAGGAUGAAGGCCUUCGGGUCGUAAACUCCUGUCGAUGGGGACGAAAGCCUCGCAAGAGGUAUGACUGUACCCGUUGAGGAAGCCACGGCUAACUCCGUGCCAGCAGCCGCGGUAAUACGGAGGUGGCAAGCGUUGUUCGGAAUUACUGGGCGUAAAGGGCGCGUAGGCGGCCUGACAAGUCAGAUGUGAAAGCCCCGGGCUUAACUCGGGAAUUGCAUCUGAAACUGUCUGGCUUGAGUUCUGGAGGGGAUGGUGGAAUUCCCAGUGUAGCGGUGAAAUGCGUAGAUAUUGGGAGGAACACCUGCGGCGAAGGCGGCCAUCUGGACAGUGACUGACGCUGAGGCGCGAAAGCUAGGGUAGCAAACGGGAUUAGAUACCCCUGUAGUC